rnacentral:tRNA from 1 species
CGAGAUACACGCAUCGUCGAUCAUAUUCGCGAUCUGGUUUAUGACAAAGGAACCCUGCCAGAGCGUUCUAUUGGUAC